CCAGCCUCCCCAGGGCAGGUCCCACCUGCAGAGGAACCUGGGAAGGGAGAGGUGCGGGACUUUACAGGAAAGGGGGCCGGCUUCUCAUGGGGCCAGGAGAGGCCCUGAGGGGGACCCCGGGUGGACAGCCCCACAGUCGUUUCCUCCUGGCUUGGGCACAGGAAGGCGGGUGCCUUGAGCUCUCUGCUCUGCGGCCGGAAAAGACUGGUGUUCCAGGAAUAUGCAGUUUGGCAGGCCGGAGCGAGCACAUGAUGUGUGACCACUUCCGUGGCCUGAGUGGGACAGCAGUGCUGCCCGGUACCUUCCAAGGCAGAGUCGUCAAAGUCCACACAGCCUCUACCCUGGAGUCCUGAGUCAUCUUAUGAGAAGGGAGUUCAAGCAUCCUGGGACCUCCACGCUGCGAGGAAGCCCACACUGCAUGAGAGGCCACAUGGAGGCCUGCUGGUUGACAGUUCCAGCCUCCGCGUCAUCCCAGCCCAGGCUCCAGCCAUCCAAAAGCAGAAGCCACUGCAGAAGUAGCUCCACCAGCCUCAGAGGCCCCAGCUGUUUGAGUUGUCCCAGGGGAGGCCCUGGCAUCCCAGAGCAGAGUUGUCCCCACUGAGCCCUUUCAGAAUACCUGACCCACAGAACUCCUGAGCAGAACAAAAUGGCUGUCAUUGGGGGUGGUUGGUUCCAGCACUAGCUACCUAGAACAGGUGAGAAGCUCAGAACCUCUUGGCCCUUCAAGCCAACUACAGGGCCCCACGAUGCAAGGUGGUCCUAACCUGGAAUGCAGUCCCAGGAACAGGUUCUCCCCAAAUACUCUUGGCGUUCUGCAGCUUGACCCGUAACCGGUGCUUGGGGAAGGGUCAUGGAAUGGAUGAAUGAUGUCCAGCCUCAUUCGCAGAGAUGUUCCUGAGCCACCCCCCAAACCUGAAAGGGGGUCUCCUCACCUCAGAACUCCAGUGGGCCUUUGCGGCUUGAAUAAAUUGUGGACCCAGCGCUCUGGGGAGGUAUCCGGGUUCUGUGUGGCAUGUCUGUUCCUCGGUUUCCCCACCCAAGGAAUAGGCUGCUGAACUCGUACCCUCUGUGGUCCCCCUGGGCUCCUGAUCUGCCUGACUGGGGGCAGUUAUUCACUCAGGUGUGUUUCCCCCCCCCCCUCACAUCCUCCAAUCCACAGGACUCCGCCUCCCGGGCAGGGGGGGCAUGAUUACUGUAAUCUCACCAUUACAUGCUCAGCACCUGGCACUGAUCUAGCUCAAAGGAUGGAUGAUGCCAAAGGUGACUACCGAAUGAAUGAAUCAGUCAAUAAAUGAAUGAAUUCUU